GAAUUCCCCUAGUACUGCGAGUGAAGCGGGAAAAGCUCAAAUUUGGAAUCUGGCAGUUUCUGACUGUCCGAGUUGUAAUCUAGAGAAGUGUUGCCUGUGCUGGACCGUGUACAAGUCUCCUGGAAUGGAGCAUCAUAGAGGGUGAGAAUCCCGUCUUUGACAUGGACUACCAGUGCAUUAUGGUAUGCUCUCAAAGAGUCGAGUUGUUUGGGAAUGCAGCUCAAAAUGGGUGGUAAAUGCCAUCUAAAGCUAAAUAUUGGCGAGAGACCGAUAGCGAACAAGUACCGUGAGGGAAAGAUGAAAAGAACUUUGGAAAGAGAGUUAAACAGUACGUGAAAUUGCUGAAAGGGAAACGCUUGAAGUCAGUCACGUUGGCUAGAAAUCAACCUUUGCUUUUGCUUGGUGUAUUUUCUAGUCUACGGGUCAGCAUCAAUUUUGACCAUUGGAUAAAGUCUUUGGGAAUGUGGCAUCUUUGGAUGUGUUAUAGCCCAUUGUUGCAUACAGUGGUUGGGAUUGAGGAACUCAGCACGCCGCAAGGCCGGGUCAUUUUGACCACGCUCGUGCUUAGGAUGCUGGCAUAAUGGCUUUAAUCGACCCGUCUUGAAACACGGACCAAGGAGUCUAACAUGCCUGCAAGUGUUUGGGUGGAAAACCCAUGCGCGUAAUGAAAGUGAAAGUUGAGAUCUCUUUUGGAGAGCAUUGACGCCCAGACCAGACCUUUUGUGACGGAUCUGCGGUAGAGCAUGUAUGUUGGGACCCCGAAAGAUGGUGAACUAUGCCUGAAUAGGGUGAAGCCAGAGGAAACUCUGGUGGAGGCUCGUAGCGAUUCUGA
rnacentral:rRNA from 1 species